rnacentral:rRNA from 1 species
GACGAACGCUGGCGGCGUGCUUAACACAUGCAAGUCGAACGGAAAGGCCCUGCUUUUGUGGGGUGCUCGAGUAGCGAACGGGUGAGUAACACGUGAGUAACCUGCCCUUGACUUUGGGAUAACUUCAGGAAACUGGGGCUAAUACCGGAUAGGAGCUCCUGCUGCAUGGUGGGGGUUGGAAAGUUUCGGCGGUUGGGGAUGGACUCGCGGCUUAUCAGCUUGUUGGUGGGGUAGUGGCUUACCAAGGCUUUGACGGGUAGCCGGCCUGAGAGGGUGACCGGCCACAUUGGGACUGAGAUACGGCCCAGACUCCUACGGGAGGCAGCAGUGGGGAAUAUUGCACAAUGGGCGGAAGCCGGAUGCAGCAACGCCGCGUGCGGGAUGACGGCCUUCGGGUUGUAAACCGCUUUCGCCUGUGACGAAGCGUGAGUGACGGUAAUGGGUAAAGAAGCACCGGCUAACUACGU